rnacentral:tRNA from 1 species
GCUGGUGUGCCUCAAAGGAGAGCAUUUGCCUUGCAGACAUAAGGCCCUGGGUUCAAUCUCCAGCACCAUUA